UGUGUAAUGUUGGCACACUGUGAGAGAAUGAGGGAGAAAAGAGAGACAGCAAGCAGCUGGGUUAAAGCAGCAGCAGUUGGACUGUCUGUCAGAGAGCUGAACAACUCUGGUGGCUAUAAGUUUGAAUCAGAGUUGUUUUGGAUAAAGACAGAAAACAGCACAUACGGGAGAGUAGUGCGACCAAUAAGCAUCCAGAACAGACAGACAGCAGCUGUAUCGUGGCAGGCUGACUGCGCAUGGCUACAGUCAAUAUGGAAACAUUACGGACACAAUUAGCCAACACAUUGUAGUGGGGCUCGUUAGAUUAGUACAGCAACAGCCUGGAGGAUUGAGAAGCACAAUAUCCCACACAAGGAAGCACAUGCCAUGAGUUGAAGCCAGCCAGCCAGCCAGCCAGUAAACAAACCGGCCCCUAGUGUGGAUAUACCCGCUGACCCUGGCUUCUAAAGGACACCAGCAAACACGAGCAGGGGGUUUUCUUGUAGCAGAAAAAACAGGAGCCAAUGGGAGCUCAAGAUCAUCGCUGUGACAUUCGGAAAAGCGCCGUGGUCCCGCCCACCAUUGACUUUGUUCAGUGGGCUGCUGGAGGAGGAGGAGGUCACAGACAUGUGGAAGCAGAACCAAAACUUUGGUUUGUGUCCUCAUCAACCUGGACAUGUCAGAGAGUAUCCUUUGAGAAGUGUUUGUAGUUUAGUUUGCAGCUGAAACUGUGCUUGACCAGUAUGUAUAGUAGGUUGCCAACAGGAAGUGUUUACUGUUUCACUGCAUGAUACAACAUAUCAUAUGUCCUUGUUAGUCAGACAGCAAAUGUUGUGUUUAGAUUUCCAUCUUUAACUUUUCAUCAAUUAUGAGAUUUCAUAUUGACAGGAAAAAUGUUGCGUAUGAUUGAUGCUUAUUUUCUAUUACAAAAUGUUUGGUAAAUGUCAAUCGAUUAAAAAUAUUAAAUCACGAUUAAUCGUAUGAUUGUCCACGAUUAAUCAUGAUUA